AAAGUCGUAACAAGGUUUCCGUAGGUGAACCUGCGGAAGGAUCAUUAUUAUUUGGGUCGGGUUUACUACUUAUGCUCAUGUGUCUCAAAUGUAAAGUAGUAAACUUUUACCAAAUAAUCCUAUUUCCAAAUAGGAGCAAGAUUAAUUUAUAUUUAAAACCCACUCUUAAAAUAUUUAUGUAUUUUGAAUGAUAAAAUAAAGAUCACUUUCAACAACGGAUCUCUUGGCUCUC
rnacentral:misc_RNA from 1 species